rnacentral:sRNA from 1 species
GCCGGGUGCUGUGGCGCACACCUGUAAUCCCAGCAGCUCCGGAGGCUGAGACAGGAUAAUUGCAAGUUCUAAGCCAGUCUCAGCAACCAUGAGGCACUAAGCAAUUCAGUGAGACUCUAUCUCUA